AAUAAUUAGUCUAAUUAGGUUAAUUUAAUUAAAUAUUAUAAAACAAAAAAAUAUUUAUUUUAUAUUAAAUAUUAAAAAUUCCAAAAAAGCCAAAUGAAUAUUUAAUAUUUUUAUACAUCUUAUAUUUUGCACUUUGUGGUUAAAAUAUUUAAAUUAUAUAUUCACUUAUAAAUUCAUUUUUUUAAUAAAUAUAUAUUUUAGUAAUCAAAUAUUUCAUAAAGAAAAAAAAACAAAAAAAUAUAAUUAAUUAGGGAAGUUAAUUACUUAAGGAAUCAUGGUUAACCUUCGGGAUAUUUUUAGGGAUAAUUAUGUGAUAAAUUUCUAGAGUUUUAGGGAUGAAA
rnacentral:lncRNA from 1 species